rnacentral:tRNA from 1 species
ACACAUUUUGAUCUUCGGUAGAGCAUGAGACUCUUAAUCUCAGGGUAGUGGGUUUGAGCCCCACAUUGGGCA